rnacentral:rRNA from 1 species
GUAGGGUGCAAGCGUUAUCCGGAAUCAUUGGGCGUAAAGAGCUCGUAGGCGGUUCAGCAAGUCGGCUGUGAAAUCCCGAGGCUUAACCUCGGAACUGCAGUCGAUACUGCUGUGACUAGAGUCCGGUAGAGGAGAAUGGAAUUCCCGGUGUAGCGGUGAAAUGCGCAGAUAUCGGGAGGAACACCAGUAGCGAAGGCGGUUCUCUGGGCCGGUACUGACGCUGAGGAGCGAAAGCGUGGGGUAGCAAACAGGAUUAGAUACCCUGGUAGUCCACGCCGUAAACGUUGGACGCUAGGUGUGGCGUUCCGACCAACGGGUGCCGUGCCGAAGCUAACGCAUUAAGUGUCCCCGCCUGGGGAGUACGGCCGCAAGGCUA